rnacentral:rRNA from 1 species
AGCAGCCGCGGUAAUUCCAGCUCCAAUAGCGUAUAUUAAAGUUGUUGCAGUUAAAAAGCUCGUAGUUGAAUUUCGGGACCAAUAUGUCUGUCGUGCCUUCGGUACGUACGGGUAUAAUUGGUUUCUACCUUCUGAUGAACCUUGAUGCCAUUAAUUUGGUGUCUUGGGGACUCAGGACUGUUACCUUGAAAAAAUUAGAGUGUUUAAAGCAGGCAUAUGCUUGAAUACAUUAGCAUGGAAUAAUGAAAUAGGACGUUCGAUUCUAUUUUGUUGGUUUCUAGGAUCGACGUAAUGAUUAAUAGGGAUAGUUGGGGGCAUUAGUAUUCAAUUGUCAGAGGUGAAAUUCUUGGAUUUAUUGAAGACUAACUACUGCGAAAGCAUUUGCCAAGGAUGUUUUCAUUAAUCAAGAACGAAAGUUAGGGAUCGAAGACGAUCAGAUACCGUCGUAGUCUUAACCAUAAACUAUGACCGACUAGGGAUCGGAUGAUGUUAAUUUUUAAUGACUCAUUCGGCGCCUUAA